UAGAAGAGGUGGGAGAGCCUCAACAUAGAAGGUGAUGUUCCUGUAUCCGAAAUCAUAAAAUCUUCUAGCUGUAGCCUGAGUAGGGCGGUGCACGUGAAACCCUGUCUGCCUCUGCCGGGACCACCCGGUAAGGCUAAAUACUAAUCAGACACCGAUAGUGAACUAGUACCGUGAGGGAAAGGUGAAAAGAACCCCGAGAGGGGAGUGAAAUAGAUUCUGAAACCAUUUACUUACAAGUAGUCAGAGCACGUUAAAGUGUGAUGGCGUACAUCUUGCAGUAUGGGCCGGCGAGUUAUGUUAAUAUGCAAGGUUAAGCAGAAAAAAGCGGAGCCGUAGUGAAACCGAGCCUGAAUAGGGCGACUUUAGUAUAUUGGCAUAUACCCGAAACCAGGUGAUCUA
rnacentral:rRNA from 1 species